UUUGUAAUAAAUAAAAAAUGACAUAUAAUCUAGUGCCUUUUCUUCCCAUCUGAUUGGCCUAUGUUGCCUCUUCCAGCAGCAUUACCUGAACCUUUAACAGUCCAGUCUUCAUUCUCCUUAAUCAGGAGCAGCUCUUUCAAGUUUGAGUCGUCCACACUUUUGGAGGAAUAUUCCCUUGCUGCCGUAAAAUUGCUAUUCCCGGGCGCAGAGGUGCCCGGUAGUGGAUUCAGCGUGAUUUUGGGCAUCGGGUUGCGGUAUGAAUUUAUCAAUGAAAUAAUGUUGGGCUUCGUUUCGAUAUCAACCCAUCUGCUAUCCACCCAAUCUCUUGAAGCCCUUACGUGCUUCCUAUCCACCGUCGCAAAUCUAUCCUCACCUGCCACAAGUGAUUCAUAAUAUGAAUAAUCAGCAUAAAUAUAUACAUAUCGUAUGUGCUAUUUAUUUAUUGAUUAUUAUAUAUAUAAAAUAUUUAGGAGUACAGUCAUCGUCGUACCGGGAAAAUAAACCUGAAGAUUGUUCGGUGCAUCCAUGUCGCAUCCAAUUAGAAAACCUUCCCACCAACCGUCUGACCACCAUGAGUCGACGGCAGCACCUACCCUAAAAUUAUUGUCCGAAGAAUAUUCUGAAUUAGGCCAAGGCCUCACCGUGAGGCGGCCCCCACAUCUUGCACCGAAUUUAUCCGGAGCUGCCACUCUGGCUGCCGGGAUCCACUCCUACAAAAUUCACAUAUAUUGAAGUCAAGAUUAUGUUUUUAUAUAUAAUAUAUAUGUGUGUGCGUGUGUAUGUAUAUACCUCGAGUUUUGCAGAUCCAUCACAGUCGUUUACGUCGCAGUACUGAACUUUGAGACGUCUUUGAGAUGAAUUGAGAACCUUGCACCUGAACCAGCAGCCACGCAUGCCGCUGUCUUGACAAAGAACCUCGAUAUGCUCUGCACCACCAUCGGUUAUAGCCAUGGGAUGUUGCUGAUGUGGCGUUGUUGCCUCAAUCUGCUGCUGAUCUGGCACAAAAUAAAUUAGCAGAAAGAAGAUUUUAGUAAAAUGAGUAGAUCUCGAAUGCAACAUUAAAAGGGAAACGUUAGAAUGUAUGUUCUUAUAUCAGCAAAAUGAAAUUCAGGGAAUUACGAGAUUAAGCAUCGACACCGACUAUU